CGGACGGGUGAGUAAUGCUUAGGAAUCUGCCUAUUAGUGGGGGACAACAUUCCGAAAGGAAUGCUAAUACCGCAUACGUCCUACGGGAGAAAGCAGGGGACCUUCGGGCCUUGCGCUAAUAGAUGAGCCUAAGUCGGAUUAGCUAGUUGGUGGGGUAAAGGCCUACCAAGGCGACGAUCUGUAGCGGGUCUGAGAGGAUGAUCCGCCACACUGGGACUGAGACACGGCCCAGACUCCUACGGGAGGCAGCAGUGGGGAAUAUUGGACAAUGGGGGGAACCCUGAUCCAGCCAUGCCGCGUGUGUGAAGAAGGCCUUUUGGUUGUAAAGCACUUUAAGCGAGGAGGAGGCUACUAGUAUUAAUACUACUGGAUAGUGGACGUUACUCGCAGAAUAAGCACCGGCUAACUCUGUGCCAGCAGCCGCGGUAAUACAGAGGGUGCGAGCGUUAAUCGGAUUUACUGGGCGUAAAGCGUGCGUAGGCGGCUGAUUAAGUCGGAUGUGAAAUCCCUGAGCUUAACUUAGGAAUUGCAUUCGAUACUGGUCAGCUAGAGUAUGGGAGAGGAUGGUAGAAUUCCAGGUGUAGCGGUGAAAUGCGUAGAGAUCUGGAGGAAUACCGAUGGCGAAGGCAGCCAUCUGGCCUAAUACUGACGCUGAGGUACGAAAGCAUGUGGAGCAAACAGGAUUAGAUACCCUGGUAGUCCAUGCCGUAGACAAUGUCUACUACCCGUUGGGGCCUUUGAGGCUUUAGUGGCGCAGCUAACGCGAUAAGUAGACCGCCUGGGGAGUACGGUCGCAAGACUAAAACUCAAAUGAAUUGACGGGUGCCCGCACAAGCGGUGGAGCAUGUGGUUUAUUUCUAUGCAACGCGAAAAACCUUACCUGGUCCUGACAUAAUAAAAACUUUCCACACAUGGAUUGUUGCCUUCGGGACUUACAUACAAGUGCUGCAGGGCUGUCUUCGGCUCCUGUCG
rnacentral:rRNA from 1 species